rnacentral:misc_RNA from 1 species
UACGAAGGGGGCUAGCGUUGUUCGGAAUUACUGGGCGUAAAGCGCAUGUAGGCGGACUAUUAAGUCAGGGGUGAAAUCCCGAAGCUCAACUCCGGAACUGCCUUUGAUACUGGUAGUCUAGAGACCGAGAGAGGUAAGUGGAACUCCUAGUGUAGAGGUGGAAUUCGUAGAUAUUAGGAAGAACACCAGUGGCGAAGGCGGCUUACUGGCUCGGAACUGACGCUGAGGUGCGAAAGCGUAGGUAGCGAACAGG